rnacentral:rRNA from 1 species
GGAGGGGGCUAGCGUUGCUCGGAAUUACUGGGCGUAAAGGGCGCGUAGGCGGAUUAGACAGUCAGGCGUGAAAGCCCCGGGCUUAACCUGGGAACUGCGUUUGAUACUACUAGUCUAGAGUUCGGGAGAGGGUGGUGGAAUUCCCAGUGUAGAGGUGAAAUUCGUAGAUAUUGGGAAGAACACCAGUGGCGAAGGCGGCCACCUGGACCGAUACUGACGCUGAGGCGCGAAAGCGUGGGGAGCAAACAGGAUUAGAUACCCUGGGUAGUCCACGCCGUAAACGAUGUGUGCUAGACGUCGGGCAGCUCGCUGUUCGGUGUCGCAGCUAACGCACUAAGCACACCGCCUGGGGAGUACGGUCGCAAGAUUA